rnacentral:rRNA from 1 species
UACAGAGGUGGCAAGCGUUGUUCGGAAUUACUGGGCGUAAAGGGCGCGUAGGCGGUUCGUUAAGUCCUGUGUGAAAUCCCCCGGCUCAACUGGGGAACUGCACAGGAAACUAGCGGGCUUGAGUUCGGGAGAGGGAAGCGGAAUUCCGGGUGUAGCGGUGAAAUGCGUAGAUAUCGGGAAGAACACCCGUGGCGAAGGCGGCUCUCUGGGACGGUACUGACGCUGAGACGCGAAAGCGUGGGGAGCGAACAGG